rnacentral:rRNA from 1 species
UACAGAGGGUGCGAGCGUUAAUCGGAAUUACUGGGCGUAAAGCGCGCGUAGGCGGCUUUUUCAAGUCGAUUGUGAAAAUCCCCCGGGCUUAACCUGGGAACUGCAGUCGAGACUGUCUAGCUAGAGUAUGGGAGAGGGAAGUGGAAUUUCAGGUGUAGCGGUGAAAUGCGUAGAUAUCUGAAGGAACAUCAGUGGCGAAAGCGACUUCCUGGACCAAUACUGACGCUCAUGUGCGAAAGCGUGGG